UGACCCUAGGUUCAAACUGAAAUUUGUUGACUUUGUUUUCAGCAAGGCCUUUCCUAAGACAGGCAAGGAAAAGAUUGAUAGAGUAGAAAAACUAGUCCGUGGGCUGUUUUCAUCAUACACCUCUCAACAAGAAACCCCAUGUGCAGCAUCUACACAACAAAUACCUAGUGUCUGUUCAGUGAACAAUGACCCGUGGGCAGAAUGGUAUAAAAAAGUCAGUAAUGAUCUUCAAACUCGGAGAAGCACAGAGCUUGAUAGGUAUUUGGAUGAGGACCCAAUUCGAGCUGAAGAGUUUGACAUAAUAAAUUGGUGGAUGGGUAAUGCGACAAAGUAUCCAACCCUUUCUCGUAUAGCCCGAGAUUUGUUUGCUGUUCCAGCCACGUCUGUACCUUCAGAAUCAGCUUUUAGCAUGGCAAGAAGAACCAUCAAUGAUUUUCGAAGUAGCCUAACCCCUGAGACAGUAGAAGCGCUUAUAUGCACCCAAGACUGGUAUAGGGCAGAAGGUUCGACGCAGUUUUCUACUGCAGCAGUUGAUGAUUUCAUUAUGGAAGAGAAUGAACCAUGAAAUUCACAGUGUGGUUUGUAGGAGUGUUUCAUCUUGACGCUAGAGAAGCAACAAGAGGCAGCAGAAUAGUGACAAUGUAUUACUUUAGUAGCUUAUGAUGAUGCUAUUAGCUGACUUUGGUAUGGUUUUUGUUAGCAUCUCUUGAAAUUGGAUUAGCCUAUUGGAGACAUGGAAAUUUGGUUUCCUGUUUCAUGGCUCUGUGAAGAUUUUUAUGUGCAAUUAAUUCUUUCAAAUAAAAUAGGCUUUUGUUA